rnacentral:rRNA from 1 species
UUGCUCCAUGAUUCAGCGGCGGACGGGUGAGUAAUGCCUAGGAAUCUGCCUGGUAGUGGGGGACAACGUUUCGAAAGGAACGCUAAUACCGCAUACGUCCUACGGGAGAAAGUGGGGGAUCUUCGGACCUCACGCUAUCAGAUGAGCCUAGGUCGGAUUAGCUAGUUGGUGGGGUAAAGGCUCACCAAGGCGACGAUCCGUAACUGGUCUGAGAGGAUGAUCAGUCACACUGGAACUGAGACACGGUCCAGACUCCUACGGGAGGCAGCAGUGGGGAAUAUUGGACAAUGGGCGAAAGCCUGAUCCAGCCAUGCCGCGUGUGUGAAGAAGGUCUUCGGAUUGUAAAGCACUUUAAGUUGGGAGGAAGGGCAGUAAGUUAAUACCUUGCUGUUUUGACGUUACCGACAGAAUAAGCACCGGCUAACUUCGUGCCAGCAGCCGCGGUAAUACGAAGGGUGCAAGCGUUAAUCGGAAUUACUGGGCGUAAAGCGCGCGUAGGUGGUUCGUUAAGUUGGAUGUGAAAGCCCCGGGCUCAACCUGGGAACUGCAUCCAAAACUGGCGAGCUAGAGUAUGGCAGAGGGUGGUGGAAUUUCCUGUGU